rnacentral:rRNA from 1 species
ACGUAGGGGGCAAGCGUUAUCCGGAUUUACUGGGUGUAAAGGGAGCGUAGACGGCAUUGCAAGUCUGGAGUGAAAACCCGGGGCUCAACCCCGGGAUUGCUUUGGAAACUGUGGAGCUAGAGUACCGGAGAGGCAAGUGGAAUUCCUAGUGUAGCGGUGAAAUGCGUAGAUAUUAGGAGGAACACCAGUGGCGAAGGCGGCUUGCUGGACGGUAACUGACGUUGAGGCUCGAAAGCGUGGGGAGCAAACAG